CGUGGAGGAGCUCGAGCGGGUGCUGCAGAUGGAGCCGCCGCCGCCCCCGGCUCCGGCCACGCCCAGGAGGUGAUCGAUCAUUCGAUCGACGAAGACCGGCAGAAUACUGGUAGUAUUAGUCAGAAUCAGUGAGGACUCGCAGUCUCUCUGCUGCAUCCGCAAGUGCACUCGAUGGAUGCUGACCGAGUGAGAGCUGUAUACAUAUCUCAGGAGACACGAAGGUGUAUCGGUGCGACCGAUUAAGGUGCUAUUGCAUUUGGUUAUGCACCAUUGCCGCUACCCACGAUCAAGGUGAAUGCAACUUCAUGCACCUGAAUUCUUGCAACCGGUUCGAACCCUACGAGCUAGGGCGGCGGUGCCGAUCUACCUCCUCCCAGGCAAGAUCAGAGCCCCCUCUCCCCCCGUCGGCUGCUUCAACGAUGGAAGCGUCGCGGGGACCCGUUGUUUCGGACACAUGGCCGUGUUCGGUUGCUUUCAGCUAUAGUACCUGCAUUGCAUAUUUAUCUCCAAUCAGACAUGUUGUUUUGGACACAUGGUCAUGUUUGGUUGCUUUCGACUACAAUACCUGCGUUGCAUACCCAUCUUCAACCAACCUGUUUCUUCAUAUGCAGCAAAUGCAAUCUAUUUGGUCAGAGGCGGAGGCAGUGGGGGGCGAGCGGGGGCCAUACCCCUCCUAUGGUUCGGCCCCCUCAACGAGUUGUAGCGGGGACUAGCCUGUUCCCUGAUACUAUAUUAGGCUUAAUUAUUCGGCUAUUAGCAAGGAUGUGGGCUAAGCUACUAAUUUCAAGCCCAAAACAAUUCCGCAAGAAGGCAACGUGGGCGAAGGCUGCACGCACACAUCCAUCAUCGCCCGGAAACCACGUACUCUUUAAUCGAUCGAUGCACACGUACACACUCAAGCGUUGAGGCGAGUCCCUUCCUAUACUCUUUCUUCCGCUAGGGCUUCGUUUCGCCGGGCUACCGGGGGUCGCACCGACGCAGCUUGGUAAUUAGCAAAGCCGUCGUUUGCCAUGCGUCAAAUCUGAGUAAGAUCCUACAAGUCUAGCCUACGGACGACGGUCUGUCGGGCGGCCGCGAAACAGACUACCAGAUGCAGAGGUAUUGUCAAAUUGAUUACAUACACCUGGACACCAAUUAAUCAACUGUUUGUAAUUAGCAUAUUUUGUUACUUGCAAGAUUAAUUACAUGUCACAUAUUGCUUUUUUUGCGGGGUAGGUUACAUAUUUUCUUUGUACUAAUAUAUGGGAAUUGUAAGGCCAGGAAGAUGAAUAAACCAUGGAUAAGUAAUUUCUUCAAGCCAAUGCUUCAAACUCUAACUCCAGAGUUGAAGAUGCAAAUCUAACCAUGACGAUAGAUGUCACAUAGCAAGCUACUGCACAUAAUGUCCACAAUCUUAGUUCAAUUCAUAUGUGAACAUCUUAACAUAAUGUUCCCAGUCUCAGAUCUCAAAGGUAUCACUACCGACAACUAAAAUAGUAGUUACAUAUUUUAUUGAAGUGCUUACAAAUUGUUGACUACACAAAAAUAAAUUAAUUGAUCAAUGGGAAAUAUAAUUUAUUUAUUUGUCAUUAGGAUGGCUUCAUCAUAUUAGUUUUAUCUUUCAACUUAUUGUAUGUUUCUUAAUAAAAUAAUAAAAUCAAGUUGAUUUAUUGAAAAUGAAAGAUAUACCAUAUUUCAAUUUCAUCAUCUUGGAAUAAUGAAGACGAAGACUAGAUAAUUAAGUAGUUUGAUCGGUCUGCUAGCAAUUCAUAAUUCUACACGUAAUUUUAGAAAAGUAAUUUUCUAUAUGUAAAAAUUAAUUAUAUAUAUAUAUUGAUAAAUCUUAUAUGAUGAACUUCACCAUUAUGUUCUUCGCCCCCCUAUGAUCAAAUCCUGGCUCCGCCCCUGUGUUUGGUUGACUGCAUCGCAUGAAGGGGCACGGUUGUCGUUUUUGUGCUUAGGGUGUGAGCAGAUGCAAACUUCAGCUGUUUGGUUGCAAAUAGUGUUUGUGUUCUGCUCACCCCAUUCAAAUAUGAUGUCCUUACCACCACAUGAUCAGCACAAAGCAAGCAACGGGAAUCACAACAAACUACUUAAAUUAACAGCAAACAACUUAAAUUAAACAAAGCAAGCAACGGAAAUGACAACAACAACAAACUUAGAUUAACAGCAUGGGCAUCCUCCUUCCCCGCUCUACGCCAGGGUGCCGCUCCUAGCCAAAAUAUUAACAAGUUCACAACACAAGUACCAUAAGUUCUAGCUAGACAACAUAACAAGUUCAACACUAACACCUAAGUUAACUACGUUGCAUGUUCAAUGUUACCAACACAGAUGUGCUUGCUGCAACGAAACAUGCACAUGAUCGAGGAGUCAUGAUUGUAGAUUUGGACCUUUAGGGCGAGUCCUAAGAUGCGCAGAACGAGGAGGUCGUCGGGGACGAUCUGGUGGUGGCAGCAGAAGUAGUUCCAGCCCCGGCCAAGCGCCAUGUGCCCCUCGAAGUUCUGGACCUGCACCCAGAACUCGCACCACUUGUUCACCGAGAGCCUGACCAAGCGCGGGGGCCGCCUAAUGACCAGCCAAUCGUUCAUCACCUGCACUAACUUGCGAGGGAUGACGAGCAUGGCGAGGUCUUCGGCGUCCUUGAUCUGCUGGUAGAAGCGCAACGGCUCCCGGGCCCCCUCCUCAUGGCCGGUCCUCGGUGAUCGUCCCCUUGAACGAGGCAUGCUCAUGAAGGCGACCCUGCCAGGAAGGUCCACCCUCUUAAGCCACAUGUUCAUGGGGAUGAGAUCCUCGACGCCCUCAGCUCCGGACACCACCUGAGCUCCUCCACCCGCCACAUCCCAGUCACUCUUCAAUACCUUGUGAGGUAAGAUGACAAGUAUUAGAGGUGCUUGCAAAAUGAACAACCACUGAUCAGUUGCACUAGCACUACAGCAAAUGGCACUGACCAUAGACAUUUGCCCAAGAGCAAAUGCCACUGAUCAGUGCACAAACUCUUUGCCAAAUGCCACUUAUCAAUGGCACUUGCUCUUGAGAAAAUGCCACUGAUCAGUGGCAUCUGGUCUUGCUCUUGAGCAAAUGCCAUUGAUUAGUGGCAUCUGGUCUUGCUCUUAAGCAAAUGUCACUCAUCAGUGGCAUCUGGUCUUGCUCUUGAGCAAAUGCCACUGAUCAAUGGCAUCUGGUCUUCUGCAACUGCCACUCAUCGGUGCACUAUGCUAAGCAUGGAAACAUCUAAAAAUAGCACCCAUGCGCACCCAUGCACAUUUGACAACAUCCUAAAAUAGUCCUACUACAUGCACGUAUAACAAUUUGGAGCAUGCAACACAAACCCUAGCUUGAACAUGUAUGUAGCAACAUGAACAUGAUCCUAGCUUAAAAUGAACAUGACAUUUGCAUGAACACAGAUCCUAGCAAGAUCCUAGCAAGACCCUAGCACUAGCAGAAGAACAUUAUCCUAGAACACACACUGUAGCAAACAAUAACGGAUCGGUCGGAUUCGAUUCGAUUGGGAUCAAAUCGAAUCGGGUCUACUCGAAUCCUACAAAAGCAGUAGCACAUGCCUAAGAAAUAAACCCCUAAUAUACAUCUACGAGCAAGCAUUGGGGAUUCUUUGACUCACCGGAGCUUGCGCAGUUGCAGCAAACUGAGGUCGGGGUGAAAACCCCGGCGGGAAGGAGAGAGGUGGCGGAGCUGGCCCUGGCGACGACCGGCGACAUCGGCCCCGUGCUCAUGGCCACGCCGAAGAUCAAGGAGGACGGCCCGCCGACAGGAGGAAACCCUUGGACGAGGGUCAAGAAAACCCCCUGCCCAAUGUGGUCCCAAGAAGUGUCAGCUCCGUGGACGGCACCGGCGCCGAGCCCAGGACCACGAGGUCCGAAAUCGGCGCCGGAGUAGGAACGACCGGCACCGCAUUCGCCGGCCCUUGUGGUGUCCGGCAACAGAUGGGGGACGGCGCUCGCAGCACCGACGCCAGGUCCUUGCCCGAGUUCUGGACCCCGGCCACCCAUCAGUUCUGGAUGGUGGCGAUGCGCUUGUCGACGGGGAUGAGAGGACGGCACGAUGGUGGGCAAGGCGGAGCCAUCGGAGGAGAGGAGAGGGAGGGGUGAUGAGGCAGAGAGGUGGGAACAGUGCGGGGACGGUGACAAGAGAGUGGGAGGGGAGUUAUGAGACAUCCCCUCUAUCUCCCGUGGUGCCUGAGGCGUCCAACCUCCUCGCACGCGUGUCCGCGCCAAGCCACACUCGCGAGAAACUGCUGAUUCGGCAGUUUCCGCCGGGCCAGGCUCAUGCCUGCUUUAAGGUUCGUGCGGGCCACGGAUCGCAUGCAGCCCAGCCAACCAAACAGGCCACGCACAUCCUGCGCGGGCCUGGUUGGGCUACAUGCGGGGAACCAAACACGCCGAUAGUGGUAAAGGGUGAGGAUUUCAGAAGUUAAGGUGAGGAUUUCAGUGCCCUAGUCAUCGGCGGUGAGGCAUUGCCAUCGUCGCCCGCAUGGAAUAAGUCCUCCUCGCCUCAUCCUCAUUCCCAUGGUUGUUCUUAGCAUCUUUGGGAGAGGUGAUCGAUCAUUCGAUACUAGUAGUAGUGGUCAUAAUCAGUGAUGAGGACUCACAGUUUCCUGUUGCAUCUGCAAGUGUACUCAAUCGAUGCUGACCAAAGUGAGAGUUGUAGAGAGAUCACAAAAGACACGAAAGUGUAUAGGUGCGACCAAUUAAGUAUUAAAAGAUUAGGCAAGUUCAUGAUUAAUUUUUAUAAAUAAUUUAUUAGUAUAACAACUAAUAGCAUGCAAUACUCUAUUAAUCUAGAAGAGCAACCGAACAUGUAGAUCAUCACCGCACACGAAGUAGCAACUACAACGAGAAGCAUUAACAGAUCACGAGUAACGUACUGCUCUUUAGCUGCUGCAGGAACGACCGUGUUGAUGACGAUGUUAGCGACGAUCUUUUGUUGAUGGUGACGGAGGUGACGAUGAGUAGCACCGUCCGACUUGGACGCUAGACGACCCGUGAUGACGAAUUUGAGCAGUCGUGCAGAGCGCUUCUUGAAAACCUAAUUUCUCCUCUCCCGGUGCAGGAUCGCAAAGACGACCGGUUCCGGAGACCUGCUCUCUCGCACGUCGAUGCACGCCGGUGUUCGAGAUGAGUUAGACUACGAUGGCAACACAAGUUGUGAGACGAGGCAAAACCCUAUGUGUUUUCGGUGUGUCUUUGGCCGACCACAGUAAGCAGUAUAUAUAGGAGGAUUAGAGUCAGUAUUGUGUCGCGAUCAUCAUCUCAAACUAUCUUGGUUUUUAAGUCAUAUACUUACCGAACAAGAAAUACUUAACUUGUCUGUCAAGACAUAAAAAUAAAACGCCAAAAGGAAGCCCUACCCCCGCAAGCCAACGAACCGGAAUUCGGCGGACCAUUCACGCGCAUGAAGCACGCACGCGCCACCCCGCCCUGCCCCGCUAGACGAGCGAGCGCGCGUGUGGUCUUCUCCUUUCUCUUCUCAGCACACACUUAGACUCUUAGAGUGGUGGGGAGAACUCAUUAUAUAAAGAGGUCCAACUCUUCCUCAACUAGCGAUAUGGGACUAAAGUUUAGCACCACGACACCACCACUUGCCAUUUUACUCAUGGGCUCAUUUGAGAUUUCAGAAUUUUGUAGAUGGGUCAAGCCCAUUAGUUCUAACAUUAAGGUGCUAGUGCAUUUGGUUAUGCGCCAUUGCCGCUACCCACGAUCAAGGUGAAUCCGUUAAUGCAAUUUCAUGCACGUGAAUUCUUGCAACAGGUUAAGAAAUUGGCAUCGGUUAAAACCUACGAGCUAGGGCGGCGACGCCGAUCUACCUCCUCCCAGGCAAGAUAACAACCCCCUCUCCUCCCAUCGGCUGCUUCAACGAUGGAAGCAUCGCGGGGACCCGUUGUUUCAGCUAAUGGUGGUAAGGGUGAGGAUUUUAGAAGUUAGGGUGAGGAUUUCAGUGCCCUAGUAAUCGGGCAUGAGGCAUUACCAUCGUUGUCUGCAUGUAAUAAGUCAUCCUCGUCUCGUCAUCAUUCCCAUGGUGGUUCUUAGAGCAUAUCCACUCCCCCGCUGACACGUCUCCAACGUAUCUAUAAUUUUUGAUGGUUCCAUGCUAUUAUCUUGUCAACUUUGGAUGUUUUAUAUGCAUGAAUAUGCUAUUUUAUAUCUUUUUGGGACUAACCUAUUAACUCAGUGCCAAGUGCCAGUUUCUGUUUUUUCCGUGUUUUUGACCUUUUUCAUAGAAGAAUAUUAAACGGAGUCCAAAUGGAAUAAAGCCUACGGGAUGAUUUUUUCCGUAACAGAAGAUACGCAGGGGACUUGAGAACCAAGGCAGGAUACCUCAUGGGAGAUCACAAGCCCCCUAGCCGCGGCCUAGGGGGGUGGCCGCGCCUGGCAGGCUUGUGGGCCCCACGUGGCUCCUUUGCCCUACCUCUUUCGCCUAUAAAUUCGCUAAAAUCCUGAAACCAAAGAAGAGAGCCACGAAAAUACUUUUCCACCGCCGCAAGCUUCUGUCUCCGCAAGAUCCCAUCUGGGGACCGUUCUGGUGCCCUACGGGAGGGGGAUUCGGACAUGGAGGGCUUCUUCAUCAACACCAUUUCCUCUCCGAGGAUGCGUCAGUAGUUCACCACAGACCUUCGGGUCCAUAGCUAGUAGCUAGAUGGCUUCUUCUCUCUCUUGGAUCUUCAAUACAAAGUUCUCCAUGAUCUUCAUGGAGAUCUAUCCCAUGUAACUUUCUUUUGCAGUGUGUUUGUCGAGAUCCGAUGAAUUGUGGAUUUAUGAUCAGAUUAUCUAUGCAUAUUAUUUGAGUCUCCUCUGAUUUCUUAUAUGCAUGAUUUCGUAUCCUUGUAAUUAUCUUUGAGUUAUUGGUUUUGUUUGGCCAACUUGAUCUAUAAUUCUUACAAUGGGAGAAGUGCUUGGUUUUGGGUUCAUACCGUACGGUGUCCUCACCUAGUGACAGAAGGGGUAGCGAGGCACGCAUCGUGUUGUUGCCAUCAAGGGUAAAAAGAUGGGGUUUAUACCAUAUUGCAAGAAUUUAUCCCUCUACAUCAUGUCAUCUUGCUUAAGGCGUUACUCCGUNNNNNNNNNNGUUGAUGUGUGGAGUAAUAGUAGUAGAUGCAGAAAGUAUCGGUCUACUUGUCUCGGACGUGAUGCCUAUAUGUAUGAUCAUUGCCUUAGAUAUCGUCAUGACUUUGCGCGAUUGUAUCAAUUGCUCGACAGUAAUUCGUUCACCCACUGUAAUACUUGCUAUCAUGAGAGAAGCCUCUAGUGAACACUAUGACCCCCAGGUCUAUUUUACACAUCAUAUAUUCAGAUCUACAUACAAAAAUACCAAAAAUACUUUGCUGCACUUUUAUUUCUGUUUACCUUUUAUCACCUUCAGAUCUCACCUUGCAAGUAAUCGUGAAGGGAUUGACAACCCCUUUAUCGCGUUGGGUGCAAGUUUGUUUGUUUUUGCGCAGGUUCAUUUGGUGCCUCAUCUUGAUACUCCUACUGGAUUGAUACCUUGGUUCUCAAACUGAGGGAAAUACUUAUCUCUACUUUGCUGCAUCACCCUUUCCUUCUCAAGGGAAAAACCAAUGCAAGCUCAAGAAGUAGCAGGAAGAAUUUCUGGCGCCGUUGCCGGGGAGUAUUCAAGUGAAGCAUAUCUACCAAGUACCUAUCGCAAACCCAUCUCUUGCAUUUACAUUAUUUGCCAUUUGCCUCUCGUUUUCCUCUCCACCACUUCUAAAACGAUUUUCCGAAAAUACCAAAAAGAUUUUCCUUUUUAUUCACUAUUCUCCCGUUCGCCUUUUUGUUGCUAUGUUUGCUUGUGUUGCCAUGUGCCUUCUAUUUGCUUGCAUCUUCGCUUGCUAAAAAUCUAUUGAUAUGGGUCCUCAUCCACUUGCUAAUCUUUUCAAAAGACCAAAUUAUGAUGAAUAAUUUGCUAGUGAGUUGAGUGCACUUGACUAUCUCUAUGGAGUUUUGUUUGAAAAUCAUGAAUGUGAAAUUUUUGAUGAAGUGUUGAAAGAAGAAAAUUAUAAAGUGGUUCAUGAUAUCUGCUUGAAUGAAAAACAUGAUUGCCAUGUUGUGAGUAUGAAUUCUUUGAAUAUCUAUGAUGCUAAUGAUAUGCAAAACCACAAGCUUGGGGAUGCUAUGCUUGAUGAAGAUGAUAUUUUUUUGUUUCCCAAGUUUUGGUGAUGACCCUUAUGCUAUAAUUGAUCAUGAAAAGAAUGCUUUGUGUGAUAGUUAUAUUGUAAGAUUCCUUCAUGAUGUUACUAAAAAUUACUAUGAGAGAGGAACAUAUGCUUUUACAUAUUGCAAUGAUAUCAAGCUUCCUCUCUAUGUGUUCAACGUUUUGAAGUUAUGCUUGUUUUGCCUUCCUAUGCUAGUUAAUUCUUGUUCCCAUAAAUUGUUUGCUCACAAAAUGCCUAUGCAUAGGAAGUAUGUUAGACUUAGAUAUGUUUGUCACAUGUUUCAUGAUGCUCUCUUCGUGUCCGAUUGCUAUCUUUUAUGUGAGCAUCAUUGAAUUAUCAAUGCCUAGCUAAAAGGCUUUAAAGAAAAGCGCUUGUUGGGAGGCAACCCAAUGAAUAAAUUUAUUUUUGCUUUUCACUUUCUGUUUUGUUGAGUCCACACCAUCAUAAUUCUGUUAUGAUUGUGUUUGUUAUGUUUUAAUUAGUGUUUGUGCCAAGUAGAACCUUUAUGAUUAGUUUUGGUGAUAGUUGUUUAAUCAUGCUGAAAAAGACAGAAACUUUGUGCUCACGAAAUUAUUUUUAAUUCCUAUCCACAAAGAUCUUUUGAGUUGAUUCUUUUUUGCUUCUGGUUUAUAUGCAAAUUUCCCUAAUUUUACUAAAUUUUCAGAAUUUUUGGGAUACUAGAGGUAUACGAAGUAUACAUAUUACUACAGACUGGUCUGUUUUUGACAGAUUCUGUUUUUGUUGUGUUGAUUGCUUAUUUUGAUGAAACUAUGGUUAGUAUCGGGGGGUACUAGCUAUGGAAAAGUGAGAAUACAGUAAUAUAACAUCAAUCUAAAUAUAAAUCAAGUUUACUACACUACCUAAAAAGUUGGUAGUUUGUUUUCUUAUGCUAAUGAUAUCACGAGUUUCUGUUUAAGUUUUGUGUUGUGAAGUUUUCAAGUUUUGGGUGAUAUUCUCAUGGACAAUGGAAUAAAGAGUGUAAAGAGCUUAAGCUUGGGUAUGUCCAAGACAUCCCAAGCCAAAUUCAAGGACACCAAAAAGCCUAAGCUUGGGGAUGCCCCGGGAAGGCAUCCCCUCUUUUCGUCUUCAAUCCAUCGGUAACGUUACCUGGAGCUAUAUUUUUAUUCACCACAUGAUAUGUGUUUUGCUUGGAGCGUCGUGUAUUAUAGGAGUCUUUACUUUUUGUUUUGUCACAAUCAUCCUUGUUGCACACCUUUUUGAGAAGGAUAUGCACUCAUCGUGGAUUUGUUAGAAUACUCAAUGAGCUUCACUUAUAUCUUUUGAGUUAGGCAAUUUAGCUCGCAUGUGCUUCACUUAUAUCUUUUAAGCUAGAUAACUUUUCUCUAGUGCUUCACUUAAAUCUUUUUAGAGCACGGCGGUGUCAUAUUUUGUAGAAAUAAAAACUCUCGAUCUUCACUUAUAUCAUUUUGUGAGUGCUAUCUCUAAGUAACUUGGUAAUUGGCGUGUGCUAUGAAAUUAGUCCUAAAUAUGUUAGGCAUCCAAAGAGGAUAUAAUAAAAACUUUCAUAUUCAAGUGCAUUGAUUAGUAAGAAAAGUUUGGUUCCUCACAAUUAGUUUUGAGAUAUGGAUAUGGUAAUAUUAGAGUUAUGUUAGUAGGGUGUUGUGAAUCUAGAAAUACUUGUGUUGAAGUUAGUAAUUCCCGUAAAUGAUGUUUUGCUGUGUAUCCCUUGCAAUGGCGCCAGAAAUAGUUGUGUCGACGACACCAGGAAUCCUUCAGCUACGGCUACGCCUUAAGGGACUUCCUAGGCAAGUAUGCAAAGGAUUUCCCCCGUGGCCUUGGAGCCUUGUGUUGGUGUUCCCUCGAAGCGGAAAGGGUGAUGUAGCAUAGCGACGGUAAGUAUUUCCCUCAGUUUGAGAACCAAGGUAUCAAUCCGGCGGAAGAGUAUCUCAAGAUCCUGCACACACACAAAAGCUUGCACCCAACGCUAUGAAGGGGUUGUCAAUCCCUUAUAGAUUGUUUGCCAAGUGAGAACUGAAAGUAACAAAGUAACAAAGCAAAGUAAAAGCGGAGGUGUAAACGAUGGAUGUGAAUAGACCCGGGGGCCGUAGUGUUUACUAGUGGCUUCUCUCAUGAAAGCAAGUAGACGGUGGGUGAAAAAAUUACUGUCGAGCAAUUGAUAGAACUGUGCAGAGUCGUGACGAUAUCUNNNNNNNNNNNNNNNNNNNNNNNNNNNNNNNNNNNNNNNNNNNNNNNNNNNNNNNNNNNNNNNNNNNNNNNNNNNNNNNNNNNNNNNNNNNNNNNNNNNNAAGAGGCAGCCUCAAACCCUCAAGGUUUGGCCGAAAUUGGAGGUGGAGGAGUCCUACUCCAAUCCUACUUGGAGUAGGAUUCCACCUUCCCACUUGGAAACUCUUUCCACCUUGUGUUUUUUCCUUCUCAAACCUUAUGGGCCUUAGUGGGAACUUAUUCCAGCCCACUAGGGGCUGGUUUAUCUCUUCCCAUAGCCCAUGAGACCCCUUGGGGCGUGACACCCCUCCCGAUGGUCCCCGGCACCCCUCCCGGCACUCCCGGUACACUACCGAUGAGCCCGAAACUUUUCCGGUGACCAAAACAGGACUUCCUAUAUAUCAAUCUUUACCUCCGGACCAUUCCGGAGCUCCUCGUGACAUCCUGGAUCUCAUCCGGGACUCCGAACAACAUUCGGUAACCAACCAUAUAACUCAAAUACGCAUAAAACAACGUCGAACCUUAAGUGUGCAGACCCUGCGGGUUCGAGAACUAUGUAGACAUGACCCGAGAGACUCCUCGGUCAAUAUCCAAUAGCGGGACCUGGAUGCCCAUAUUGGAUCCUACAUAUUCUACGAAGAUCUUAUCGUUUGAACCUCAGUGCCAAGGAUUCAUAUAAUCCCGUAUGUCAUUCCCUUUGUCCUUCGGUAUGUUACUUGCCCGAGAUUCGAUCGUCAGUAUCCGCAUACCUAUUUCAAUCUCGUUUACCGGCAAGUCUCUUUACUCGUUCCGUAAUACAAGAUCCCGCAACUUACACUAAGUCACAUUGCUUGCAAGGCUUGUGUGUGAUGUUGUAUUACCGAGUGGGCCCCGAGAUACCUCUCCGUCAUACAGAGUGACAAAUCCCAGUCUCGAUCCAUACUAACUCAACGAACAUCUUCGGAGAUACCUGUAGAGCAUCUUUAUAGUCACCCAGUUACGUUGCGACGUUUGAUACACACAAAGUAUUCCUCCGAUGUUAGUAAGUUAUAUGAUCUCAUGGUCAUAGGAACAAAUACUUGACACGCAGAAAACAGUAGCAACAAAAUGACACGAUCAACAUGCUACGUCUAUUAGUUUGGGUCUAGUCCAUCACAUGAUUCUCCUAAUGAUGUGAUCCCGUUAUCAAGUGACAACACUUUCCCAUGGCCAGGAAACAUUGACCAUCUUUGAUCAACGAGCUAGUCAACUAGAGGCUUACUAGGGACAGUGUUUUGUCUAUGUAUCCACACAAGUAUUGUGUUUCCAAUCAAUACAAUUAUAGCAUGGAUAAUAAACGAUUAUCAUGAACUAAGAAAUAUAAUAAUAACUAAUUUAUUAUUGCCUCUAGGGCAUAUUUCCAACAGCCGCUACUGCCGCGUCUGUGGACCUCUUGGCAUCGAGCCUUCUCCACCGGUCCAUUGUGACCGCCUGCCGAUUCUGGACAUCCACCAUCCACUAAGCGUCCGACAUGCCCAUUGGCCUAGCCAUCGGCGCCCUCGGCUUCCUUUACUUCGGUCGGGUGGAAUCAGCGGCGGCAGCAAAGCGAGGGGCAGUAUACUUCUUCGGUGGCAUGGCGACCGGAUGGCGGGAGCGGCCGGGGGGAGAAGCGGAAGCAAGGAGGAAAUGGAGGGAGAGGGGGAGAAAACGGCGGGAAUAGGCCCGUUUGUCGCCAACAGCACGGAUCCACUCGACUUUUUGUUUCGGCCGGCACCCCGAGGCGCACCCCGGGGGCUAGGUUCGGCUCGGGUUCGUUGUGUGUUUUUUCGGCCCAAACCGGCGCUGAACGAGGAGUUAGGGGCGCUGGUGGGCCGAUUUUUCGCCGUCGGCGCUAAAAAAGGCGUCUUGUGGGGCCUAUUGGUGGGCGGGUGCUACUUCUUGAGCUUGCGUUGGUUUUUCCCUUGAAGAGGAAAGGGUGAUGCAGCAAAGUAGAGAUAAGUAUUUCCCUCAGUUUGAGAACCAAGGUAUCAAUCCAGUAGGAGUAUCAAGAUGAGGCACCAAUGAACCUGCGCAAAAACAAACAAACUUGCACCCAACGCGAUAAAGGGGUUGUCAAUCCCUUCACGAUUACUUGCAAGGUGAGAUCUGAAGGUGAUAAAAGGUAAAAAGAAAUAAAAGUGCAGCAAAGUAUUUUUGGUAUUUUUGUAUGUAGAUCUGAAUAUAUGAUGUGUAAAAUAGACCCGGGGGCCAUAGUGUUCACUAGAGGCUUCUCUCAUGAUAGCAAGUAUUACUGUGGGUGAACGAAUUACUGUCGAGCAAUUGAUAGAAUCGCGCAAAGUCAUGACGAUAUCUAAGGCAAUGAUCAUACAUAUAGGCAUCACAUCCAAGACAAGUAGACCAAUACUUUCUGCAUCUACUACUAUUACUCCACACAUCGAUCGCUAUCCAGCAUGCAUNNNNNNNNNNNNNNNNNNNNNNNNNNNNNNNNNNNNNNNNNNNNNNNNNNNNNNNNNNNNNNNNNNNNNNNNNNNNNNNNNNNNNNNNNNNNNNNNNNNNNNNNNNNNNNNNNNNNNNNNNNNNNNNNNNNNNNNNNNNNNNNNNNNNNNNNNNNNNNNNNNNNNNNNNNNNNNNNNNNNNNNNNNNUGUAGAGGGAUAAAUUCAUGCAAUAUGAUAUAAACUCGAUCUUUUUACCCUUGAUGGCAACAACACGAUGCGUGCCUCGCUACCCCUUCUAUCACUAGGUGAGGACACCGCACGGUAUGAACCCAAAACCAAGCACUUCUCCCAUUGCAAGAAUUAUAGAACAAGUUGGCCAAACGAAACCAAUAACUGGAAGAGAAUUACAAGGAUACAAAAUCAUGCAUAUAAGAAAUCAGAGGAGACUCAAAUAAUAUUCAUAGAUAAUCUGAUCAUAAAUCCACAAUUCAUCGGAUCUCGACAAACACACCGCAAAAGAAGAUUACAUCGGAUAGAUCUCCAUGAAGAUCAUGGAUAACUUUGUAUUGAAGAUCCAAGAGAGAGAAGAAGCCAUCUAGCUACUAGCUAUGUACCCGAAGGUCUGUGGUGAACUACUCACGCAUCAUCGGAGAGGCAAUGGUGUUUAUAAUAAGCCCUCCGUGUCCGAAUCCCCCUCCGGUAGGGCACCAGAACGGUCCCCAGAUGGGAUCUUGCGGAGACAGAAGCUUGCGGCGGUGGAAAAGUACUUUCGAUGAUCUCCUGAUUUUUUCUGGGAUUUUAGGGAAUAUAUAGGUGAAAGACCUAGGGCAGAGGUGGCCCAGGGAGCCCACAAGCCUGGGGGGCGAAAGCCCUAGGUAUUUCGCCUAUAUAUUCCCUAAAAUCCCAGAAAAAAUCAGGAGAUCAUCGAAAGUACUUUUCCGCCGCCGCAAGCUUCUGUCUCCGCAAGAUCCCAUCUGGGGCACGCUCUGGUGCCCUGCCAGAGGGGGGAUUCGGAUACGGACGGCUUCUUCAUCAACACNNNNNNNNNNNNNNNNNNNNNNNNNNNNNNNNNNNNNNNNNNNNNNNNNNNNNNNNNNNNNNNNNNNNNNNNNNNNNNNNNNNNNNNNNNNNNNNNNNNNNNNNNNNNNNNNNNNNNNNNNNNNNNNNNNNNNNNNNNNNNNNNNNNNNNNNNNNNNNNNNNNNNNNNNNNNNNNNNNNNNNNNNNNNNNNNNNNNNNNNNNNNNNNNNNNNNNNNNNNNNNNNNNNNNNNNNNNNNNNNNNNNNNNNNNNNNNNNNNNNNNNNNNNNNNNNNNNNNNNNNNNNNNNNNNNNNNNNNNNNNNNNNNNNNNNNNNNNNNNNNNNNNNNNNNNNNNNNNNNNNNNNNNNNAGUUUCUUCUGAUCUCUCUUAUGCAUGAUUUCAUAUCCUUGUAAUUAUCUUCGAGUAAUGGGUUUUGUUUGGCGAGCUUUAUCUAUGAUCCUUGCAAUGGCAGAAGUGCUUGGUUUUGGGUUCAUACCGUGUGGUGACCUCACCCAGUGACAGAAGGGGUAGCGAGGCACACAUCGUGUUGUUGCCAUCAAGGGUAAAAAGAUGGGUUUUUCAUCAUUGGUUUGAGUUUAUCCCUCUACAUCAUGUCAUCUUGCUUAAGGCGUUACUCUAUUCGUCAUGAACUCAAUACACUAGAUGCAUGUUGGAUAGCAGUCGAUGUGUCGAGUAAUAGUAGUAGAUGCAGAAAGUAUCGGUCAACUUGUCCCGGGCGUGAUGCCUAUAUGUAUGAUCAUUGCCUUAGAUAUCGUCAUGACUUUGUGCGGUUCCAUCAAUUGCUCGACAGUAAUUUUUUCACCCACCGUAAUAUUUGCAAUUUUGGGAUAAGCCUCUAGUGAACACUAUGGCCCCCGGGUCUACUCCACACCAUAUUUUCAGCCUUACUCUUUUCUUCAUUGCACUUUCCGCCUUCAUAUCUUACUUGGCAAUCAAUCUUGAAGGGAUUGACAACCCCUUUAUAGCGUUGGAUGCAAGCUCUUUUGUGUUUGUGCAGGUACUCUGGACUUGACGAGAUUCUCCUACUGGAUUGAUACCUUGGUUCUCAAACUGAGGGAAAUACUUACUGCUCCUGCGCUGCAUCACCCUUUCCUCUUCAAGGGAAAAGCCAACGCAAGCAAGUCUCCGUCAACGUGUCAAUUUAUGGCGCUGUUGUUUGAGAAGUAGCAUCCACCCCCACCAAAGGGUGAUCAUGUGUUCGAUCUUAAACAGUUGCCUGAUACUCUUAAGUAUACUUAUCUUGAUGAAAAAGGGAUAUAUCCUGUUAUUAUUAGUGCUAGCCUCUCAGAGCAUGAAGAAAAGAGGUUACUAAAAACUCUGAGGAAGCACCGUGCUGCUAUUGGAUAUACUCUUGAUGAUCUUAAGGGCAUUAGUCCCACUCUAUGCCAGCACAAGAUUAAAACUCAUCCUGAUUCCAAACCAGUUGAUGAUCAUCAGAGGAGAUUAAAUCCUAAGAUGAAAGAAGUAGUGAGAAAAUAAAUACUAAAUCUCCUGGAAGCGGGUAUCAUCAAUCAUGUUGCUCAUAGUGAUUGGGUGAGUCUGGUGCAUUGUGUCCCUAAUAAGGGAGGCAUUACCGUUGUCCCUAAUGAUAAGGAUGAAUUGAUCCCACACAGGAUUAUUACUGGCUAUAGGAGGGUGAUCGAUUUUAGGAAAUUGAAUAAAGCUACUAGGAAAGAUCAUUACCCUUUGCCUUUUAUCGACCAGAUGCUAGAAAGACUGUCUAAACACACACACUUCUGCUUUCUAGACGAUUAUUCUGGUUUCUCUCAAAUACCAAUUGCACAAUCUGAUGAGGAUAAAACCACUUUCACCUGCCCUUUCGGUACCUUUGCUUAUAGACGCAUGCCUUUUGGCUUAUGUAAUGCACCUGCCACCUUUCAAAGAUGUAUGAUGGAUAUAUUCUCUGACUUUUGUGAAAAUAUUGUUGAGGUUUUCAUGGAUGACUUCUCCGUUUAUGGGUCUUCCUUUGAUGAUUGCCUCAGCAACCUCGGUCGAGUCUUGCAGAGAUGUAAAGACACCAAUCUUGUCUUGAAUUGGGAGAAAUGCCACUUUAUGGUUAAUGUAGGCAUCGUCUUGGGACAUAAAAUUUCUGAAAGAGGUAUUGAAGUCGAUAAGGAUAAAGUUGAUGCGAUCGAGAAAAUGACAUACCCCACAGAUAUCAAAGGUAUAAGAAGUUUCCAUGGUCAUGCUGGUUUCUAUAGGAGGUUCAUUAAAGACUUCUCUAAGAUUUCUAGUCCUCUUACCACCUGAUUGGAACUUACCUUUUGAAAUCAUGCGUGAUGCUAGUGAUUAUGUCGUUGGUGCUGUCCUAGGGCAAAUAGUUGAUAAGAAGAUGAAUGUUAUUCACUAUGCUAGUAAAACUCUAGACAUUGCCCAACGAAACUAUUCCACUACGGAAAAGGAAUUUUUAGCAGUCGCGUUUGCAUGUGAAAAGUUCAGGUCUUACAUAGUUGAUUCCAAAGUCACUAUUCACACUAAUCACGCUGCUAUUAAGUACCUCAUGGAGAAGAAGGACGCUAAACCUAGACUUAUCAGAUGGGUUCUCUUGCUACAAGAAUUUGAUUUGCACGUUGUCGACAGGAAGGGUGCUGAUAACCCCGUAGCAGAUAACUUGUCUAGGUUGGAGAACGUUCUUGAUGACCCACAACCUAUUGAUGAUAGCUUUCCUGAUGAGCAAUUGAAUGUCAUAAAUCCUUCACAUAGUGCACCAUGGUAUGCUGAUUAUGCAAACUAUAUCGUUGCCAAAUAUAUACCACCUAGUUUCACAUACCAGCAAAAGAAUAAAUUCUUCUUUGACUUGAGACAUUACUUUUGGGAUGAUCCUCACCUUUAUAAGGAAGGAUUAGAUGGUGUUAUUAGAAGUUGUGUACCUGAACAUGAACUGGGACAGAUCCUACAGAAGUGUCACUCCGAGGCCUACAGAGGACACCAUGCGGGAGAUAGAACUGCACACAAGGUAUUGCAAUCAUGUUUCUAUUGGCCCACUCUCUUCAAGGAUGCCCGUAAGUUUGUCUUGUCUUGUGACAAAUGUCAAAGAAUAGGUAAUAUCGGUAAACGUCAGGAAAUGCCUAUGAACNNNNNNNNNNNNNNNNNNNNNNNNNNNNNNNNNNNNNNNNNNNNNNNNNNNNNNNNNNNNNNNNNNNNNNNNNNNNNNNNNNNNNNNNNNNNNNNNNNNNNNNNNNNNNNNNNNNNNNNNNNNNNNNNNNNNNNNNNNNNNNNNNNNNNNNNNNNNNNNNNNNNNNNNNNNNNNNNNNNNNNNNNNNNNNNNNNNNNNNNNNNNNNNNNGGUAUACUCACAUCUUAGUUGUUGUUGAUUAGGUCACUAAGUGGGUAGAAGCUAUCCCCGCUAGUAGUGCUGAUGACAACACAUCUAUUAGGAUGCUUAAAGAAGUUAUUUUCCCUCGAGUUGGAGUCCCUAGAUAUCUAAUGGCCGACGAUGGUUCACAUUUCAUUUAUGGUGCUUUCUAUAAAACGCUUGCUAAGCACGAUGUCCACCAUAGAAUUGCGUCUCCCUAUCACCCUCAGUCCAGUGGUCAAGUAGAGCUAAGCAAUAGAGAGAUUAAACUGAUUCUGCAAAAGACUGUCAAUAGGUCUAGAAAGAAUUGGUCUAAGAAGCUCGAUGAUGCACUGUGGGCUUAUAGGACUGCCUAUAAGAAUCCCAUGGGCAUGUCUCCGUACAAAAUGGUGUACGGUAAGGCAUGUCAUUUACCUCUUGAGCUAGAGCACAAAGCUUAUUGGGCAAUCAAAGAGCUCAACUUUGAUUUCAAACUUGCCGGUGAGAAGAGGUUAUUUGAUAUUUGCUCGCUUGAUGAAUGGAGAACUCAGGCAUAUGAGAAUGCCAAGUUUUUCAAAGAAAAGGUUAAGAGGUGGCAUGAUAAGAGGAUACAAAAGCGUGAGUUCAAUGUAGGUGAUUAUCUCUUGCUAUAUAAUUCUCUUUAAGAUUUUUUGGAGGCAAGCUUCUCUCUAAAUGGGAAGGUCCCUAUAUUGUUGAGGAAGUAUAUCGUUCUGGUGCUAUCAAGAUCAAAAACACGGAAGGUAAUUGUCCGAGAGUGGUAAAUGGGCAGAGAAUCAAGCAUUAUAUCUCAGGUACUCCCACAAAUGUUGAAAGCAAUAUCAUCAAUACCAUAACUCCGGAAGAAUACCUAAGGGAUAUUUAUAAACCUGUUUCAGACUCUGAAAACGAAGAGGUAUGUGAUUCGGUAAGAAAACAGACUCCAAAACUUUUCCAGUAGGAAUUUUUCUCCGUUUUGGAAUAUUUGAAAAAAUAGAAAAAUUGGAAGUAUUCCGGAAAGCGCGCGAGGAGGCGACAAGCCUGCCAGGCGCGGUCCAACCCCUUGGCCGCGCCUGGGGGGCUUGUGGCCACCUCGUGUGCCUCCCGGACUUCGCUUUCGAGCGGAGUACUCCUUCUGGUCAGAAAAAAAUCAUUAUAUAUUCUCCCGUAAGGUCUUACCCUCGUAUCACACGAAUUUCCUUUGUUUUCGUUUCGAGCCUGUUUUGUGCCGCAGAUUUAGAGCAAGAUGUCGUCCCAGGAAUCUGUGGGGGAGAACAAUCUCCCUCAAGUCUAUGAAGAAGUAAAUGCUGAUCUGAAAAGAAUGGAGGCCAAAGAAAGGCUACCUAAAGAAACCAAGGGCAAAACUAAGGAGAAGAAUUAGGCGUGGGAUGAAGCACAAUCUGUGUUCAACAAGGAAGAAGUUGAAGAAGUGGAUUUGUUCCAACCCUAUCUCCACCUAUUGUCUCCAUCCUUGAUUGAAGUGUUGAGGUUUUGUGAAACAACUCGUGCUCGCAAUACUUAUCUCACUCGUGAAGUUGUUUUGCUGGAGAAACAUAUCACGCAUCUCCAAGGUAUAAAUCAAAGAUUGAUGGCCCUCUUGGAAUCAAAGGGCAAAGCAACUCCACCACCAUCACCUCCAAAGGAAGACAACUAAGCAUGGGUAUGGGCAAUACCGUUGGCUUGUGCCAAGCUUGGGGAGUUGCCCCGGUAUCGUAUCACCAUCACAUCUUUUGCCUUUACCUUUGUUUUAGUUUGUUCCCUUUCAGUUUUCUCUUUCUCUAAUAGAAUAAAAGUCUUAGUGUUUUAGUCUUGAAGUUUUGCUUUGUGUCACCCCCGAUGUAUUUGAGCUCGUGAGCCAUAUAAUAAAGAGUGUCUUAGUUGAGGGCUUUGUCUCUUGCCAUGAUCAAAAGAUUGAGAAAAGAACAAAAGCAUGAAAGAUCAUGUGAUGAUCUUAUGGGAAGUGAUGGCUUCACAUAUAAAAAGAAUGUUGAUUGAAACUUGUUGAGGUAGACAAACGUAGACCUUGGUCAUUGUUGCAAUUAAUAGGAAGUGAUAAAGAAUGAGAGGAUGACAUAUAAAUAUAUCAUCUUUGACACCAUCUAUGAUUGUGAACACUCACUAAACUAUUACAUGCUUAGAAGUAGAUGUUGGACAAGGAAGACAACAUAAUGAAUUGUGUUUGCUUGGUUCCAAACAAUGUUAUAUGAUUAGAGAUCCCUUAGCAUGUGACGAUUGCUUCCACCUCAUAUUAUCCAAAACUCCCGCACCAAGUAGAGAUACUACUUGUGCAUCCACAAACCUUCAACCCAGUAUUGCCAUGAGAGUCCACCAUACCUACCUAUGGAUUGAAUAAGAUCCCUCAAGUAAGUUGUCAUUUGUGCAAGCAAUAAAAAUUGCUCCCUAAUAUGUAUGAUCUAUUAGUGUGUCGAAAAUAAGCUUUGUACGAACCUGUGAUGAGGAAGACAUAAAAGCGACAGACUGCAUAAUAAAGUUCUUUAUCACAGGAGGCAAUAUAAAGUGACGUUCCUCCGCACUAAGAGGACACGCAUCCAAACCUCAAAAGCGCAUCACAACCUCUGCUUCCCUCUGCGAAGGGCCUAUCUUGUACCUUUACUUUUUGCCCUUGAAAGAGUCAUGGUGAUAUUCACCAAUUCCUUGUUUCGCCCUUAUCUUGGCUAAUGUCAUAUGCUUGGGAAAGAUCUAUAUUCAUAUGUCAACUUGGANNNNNNNNNNNNNNNNNNNNNNNNNNNNNNNNNNNNNNNNNNNNNNNNNNNNNNNNNNNNNNNNNNNNNNNNNNNNNNNNNNNNNNNNNNNNNNNNNNNNGAUGUUGUGAUAAAUUGCAAUUGCAUCAAUGACUAAAGGCUAUCGGUUGUUAUUUCUCGGUAAGGUUCUUGAUCCAUAGUUUACUUUGUGAAGGAAUUUUCACUUUAGCAUAAGAGAUUAUAUGUUGGUAUUGCUAUUCUGAUCAUGAUCAUGAUGCAUGUAUGUUCGUAUCUUGUUUUGUCGACAUCUCUCUCCCUAAACAUGUGGGCAUAUUUAUUGAGCUCGGCUUUCGCUUGAGGACAAGCGAGGUCUAAGCUUGGGGGAGUUGAUACGUCCAUUUUGCAUCAUGCUUUCAUGUUGGUAUUUAUUGCUUUUUGGGCUGUUAUUUCACUUCACGGUACAAUACUUCUGCCUUUUCUAUCUUAUUUUGCAAGGUUUACAUGAAGAGGGAGAAUGCCGGCAGCUGGAAUUCUGGCCUGAAAAAGGAGAAAGUUUGAGAUGCCUAUUCUGCACAACUCCAAAAGCCGUGAAAAUCAACGUGGAUUUUUUUUGGAAUAUAUAAAAAAUACUGGGCCGAAGAAGUGCCAGAGGAGCGCAACCAGGGGGCCACAAGCCUGGUAGGCGCGGCCACCCCCCCUGGCCGCGCCUAGGGGGCUAGUGGGCUCCCUGCUGGCCCACUGGCUCCCCUCUUCUGCUAUAUGAAGGGUUUCGUUCUGAAAAAAAUCAGGAGGAGGCUUUUCGGAGGAUUCGCCGCCGCCACGAGGCGGAACUUGAGCAGAACCAAUCUAGAGCUCCGACAGGACGAUCCUGCCGGGGAAACUUCCCUCCCUGAGAGGGAAAUCAUCGCCAUCGUCAUCACCAACACUCCUCUCAUCGGAGGGGCUCAUCACGAUCAACAUCUUCCUCAUCACCAUCUCAUCUCCAAACCCUAGUUCAUCACUUGUAACCAAUCUCCGUCUCGUGACUCCGAUUGGUACUUGUAAGGUUGCUAGUAGUGUUAAUUACUCUUUGUAGUUGAUGCUAGUUGGAUUACUUGGUGCAAGAGUUUAUGUUCAGAUCUUUGAUGCUACUCAUUACCUCUCUGGUCAUGAAUAUGUUUAUGCUUUGUGAGUAGUUACUUUUGUUCCUGAGGACAUGGGAUAAGUUGUGUUUUAAGUAGUCAUGUGAAUUUGGUAUUCGUUCGAUAUUUUGAUGUGUUGUAUGUUGUUUUUCCUCUAGUGGUGUUAUGUGAACGUCGACUACAUAACACUUCACCAUUAUUCGGGCCUAGAGGAAGGCAUUGGGAAGUAGUAAGUAGAUGAUGGGUUGCUAGAGUGACAGAAGCUUAAACCCUAGUUUAUGCGUUGCUUCGUAAGGUGCUGAUUUGGAUCCACUAGUUUAAUGCUAUGGUUAGACUUUGUCUUAAUUCUUCUUUCGUAGUUGCGGAUGCUUGCGAGAGGGGUUAAUCAUAAGUGGGAUGCUUGUCCAAGUAAGGGCAGUACCCAAGCGCCGGUCCACCCACAUAUCAAACUAUCAAAGUAAAGAACGCGAAUCAUAUGAACAUGAUGAAUACUAGCAUGACAGAAAUUCCUGUGUGUCCUCGGGAGCGUUUUUCCUCCUAUAAGACUUUGUACAGGCUUGUCCCUUGCUACAAAAUGGAUUGGGCCACUUUGCUGCACCGUUGUUACUUUUGUUACUUGCUACUCGCUACGAAUCAUCUCACCACACAACUACUUGUUACCAAUAAUUUCAGUGCUUGCAGAUAUUACCUUGCUGAAUACCACUUGCCAGAUCCUUCUGCUCCUCGUUGGGUUCCACACUCUUACUUAUGGAAAGAACUACGAUAGAUCCCCUAUACUUGUGGGUCAUCACAUAUCAAGCAUCCCCAAGCUUAACUCGUCCUCGAGUAGGGAAGUGAUAAAGACUGAAUUUUUUAUGUGGAAUGCUACCUAUCAUAUUUUUAUUUGUAACUUCUUUCUUGUGGCAUGAAUGUUCAGAUCCGUAAGAUUCAAAACAAUAGUUUACUAUUGACAUGAAAACAAUAAUACUUCAACCAUACUAGCAAAGUAAUCGUGAACUUUUGAAAUAACAAGGCCAAAGAAAGUUAUCCCUACAAAAUAAUAUAGUCUGGCUAUGCUCCAUCAUCCCCACACAACGAAUUUAAAUCAUGCACAACCCCGGUAUUGGCCAAGUUAUUGUUUUCGCACUCUUACUUUCUCAAACCUUUUCAACUCUCACGCAAUACAUGAGCGUGAGCCAUGGAUAUAGCACUAUAGGUGGAAUAGAGUGCGGUGGAGGUUGUGAGGCAAAAAGGAGAAGAUGGUCACAUCGACUCGGCGUAUCAAUGGGCAAUGGAGAUGCCCAUCAAUAUAUAUCAAUGUGAAUGAGUAGGGAUUGCCAUGCAACGGAAAGCUCAAAAAGAAAACUAGUGGGUGUGCACCCAACUUGCUUGCUCACAAGACCUAGGGCAAUUUUGAGGAAGCCCAUCAUUGGAAUAUACAAGCCAAGUUAUAUAAUGAAAAUUCCCACUAGUAUAUGGAAGUGACAAAACAAGAGACUCUGUAUCAUGAAGAACAUGGUGCUAUUUUGAAGCACAAGUGUGGAAAAAGAUAGUAGCAUUGCCCCUUCUCUCUUUUUCUCUCAUUUUUUUUGUUUGGGCUCUUUGGCCUUUUUUUAUUUCCUCACAUGGGACAAUGCUCUAAUAAUGAUGAUCAUCACACUUUUAUUUACUUACAACUCAAUCUUAGAACAAUGAUGACUCUAUAUGAAAUGCCUCCGGUAGUGUACCGGGAUGUGCAACGAUCUAGCUUAGCGUAUGACGUUGAAAAAUCUCGCUAGCUAUCUUACAAUCAUGCAAUGGCAAUAUGAAAGUGACGGCACAUGUCAUGGGAUGGAACGGUGGAAGUUGCAUGGCAAUAUAUCUCGGAAUGGCUAUUAAAAUGCCAUAAUAGGUAGGUAUGGUGGUUGUUUUGAGGAAGGUAUAUGGUGGGUUUGUGUACCAGCGAAAGUUGUGCGGCACUAGAGAGGCUAGAAAUGCUGGAAGGGUGAGAGUGCGUAUAAUCCAUGGACUCACAUUAGUCAUGAAGAACUCAUAUACUUAUUGCAAAAGUUUUAUUAGUAAUCAAAACAAAGUGCUAAACACAUACUCCUAGGGGAAGGGUUGGUAGGUGUUAACCAUCGCGCGAUCCCGACCGCCACACAAAGGAUGACAAUCAAUAAAUCAAUUAUGCUCCGACUUCCUAACAUAGCGGUUCACCAUACGUGCAUGCUACUGAUACGUCUCAAACGUAUCUAUAAUUUUUGAUGGUUUCACGCUGUUAUCUUGCCUUCUUUGUGUGUUUUAUGUAUCUUUUUAUAUCUUUUUGGGACUAACUUAUUAAUUCAGUUCCAAGUGCCAGUUCCUGUUUUUCCGUGUUAUUUGACUCUUUUCAGAUCGGAUUUUGGAACGGAGUCCAAACGGAAGAAAAACCCCGAAAUGAUUUUUUCCUGAACGGAAGAAUUCCAGGGGGCUUUUGGGCCAAGCCAGGUGGGCUCGAGGGAGCCCACAAGCCCCCACUCCACCACCAGGGGAGGCGGCGGUGGGCAGGCUUGUGGCCUCCCUGGUCGCCCCUGACCUAGGUCUUUGGCCUAUAAAUUCCCAAAUAUUCCGCAAAAAAUUAGGGGAGCCUCGAAGAUACUUCUUCGCCACCGCAAGCUUCCGUUUCUGCGAGAUCCCAUCUGGAGACCCUUCCCGGCACCCUGUCGGAGGGGACUUUGGAGUUGGAGGGCUUCUUCUUCAUCAUCAUCGCCCCUCCAAUGACUCGUUAGUAGUUCACUUCAGACCUACGGGUCCGUAGUUAGUAGCUAGAUGGUUUCUUCUCUCUCUUGGAUCUUCAAUACAAAGUUCUCCAUGAUCUUCAUGGAGAUCUAUCCGAUGUAAUCUUCUUUGGCGGUGUGUUUGUCGAGAUCCAAUGAAUUGUGGACUUGUGAUCAGAUUAUCUAUGAUAUAUAUUUGAGUCUUUGCUGAUUUCUUAUAUGCAUGAUUUGAUAUCCUUGUAAGUCUCUCCGAGUCUUGGGUUUUGUUUGGCCAACUAGAUCUAUGAUUCUUGCAAUGGGAGAAGUGCUUGGUUUUGGGUUCUGCCAUGUGGUGACCUUUCCCAGUGACAGUAGGGGCAGCAAGGCACACAUCAAGCAAUUGCCAUCAAGGGUAAAAAGAUGGGGUUUUUAUCAUUGGUUUGAGAUUAUCCCUCUACAUCAUGUCAUCUUGCUUAAGGCGUUACUCUGUUCUUAUGAACUUAAUACACUAGAUGCAUGUUGGAUAGCGGUCGACGUGUGGAGUAAUAGUAGUAGAUGCAGAAAGUAUCGGUCUACUUGUUUCGGACGUGAUGCCUAUAGAAAUAAUAAUUGCAUNNNNNNNNNNNNNNNNNNNNNNNNNNNNNNNNNNNNNNNNNNNNNNNNNNNNNNNNNNNNNNNNNNNNNNNNNNNNNNNNNNNNNNNNNNNNNNNNNNNNGAUCUCCAUGAAGAUCAUGGAGAACUUUGUAUUGAAGAUCCAAGAGAGAGAAGAAGCCAUCUAGCUACUAGCUAUGGACCCGUAGGUCUAUGAUGAACUACUCACGCAUCAUCAGAGAGGUCAUGGUGUUGAUGAAGAAGCCCUCCGUAUCCAAAUCCCGCCUCCGGCAGGGCACCAGAACGUGCCCCAGAUGGGAUCUUGCGGAUACACAAGCUUGCGGCGGCGGAAAAGUAUUUUCGUGGAUCUCCUGAUUUUUUCUGGGAUUUUAGGGAAUAUAUAGGCGAAAUACCUAGGGUAGGGGAGGCCCAGGGAGCCCACAAGCCUGGGAGGCGCGGCCCCCCUGGCCGCACCAUGAGGGCUUGUGGGGUCCCUGGUGACCCUCUGCCUUGGUUCUCAAGUCUCCCGAUCGUAUUUUGUUUCGGAAAAAAUCUUUUCGGAAGUUUGAUUUCGUUUGGACUCCGUUCAAAAUUCUCCUCUGAAAAGGGUCAAAAACACGGAAAAAAUAGGAACUGGCACUUGACACUGAGUUAAUAAGUUAGUCCCCAAAAAGAUAUAAAAGGCAUACAAAACAUCCAAAGUUUGACAAGAUAAUAGCAUGAAACCAUCAAAAAUUAUAGAUACGUUGGAGACGUAUCACUCGGCAUGCCAGCUCUUACACCGACUGUUAUGAUCGGUUGAAUGAAGUUGGUGCCUACUAUGAGAAUAAUUAGCCUGUUGGACCACCGCAGUUUUGAGUAUCUUGAUGGCAUUCCUAGCCUCAAUGUUUGCUGGACUAUUUCCCCUGAUCAGGAUUGCAGCAAGAUUUUGAGUCACCGCAAGCAUGUUAUCAACCAUGUUGGAGUAAUGAAACGGUGGAGUAUGGAAAUGUCGACGUGAUUGCUGAGCCGGGGUAUGUUGAUAGAUCGGCCUGUUUGUGCCUGGAGGCACUGCUCGCAUUAAUUUAGGUAUGACAGGGGUCUCUCCAGGCAUGCCGGCUCCUGCUCCUCGAAUAGUCGUGUCAAGCUGAAUUUCAAACAAACGAGUCGGCUCAAAGGUUGACGACAACCGACUCUGGUGCCUUCUUGUGUGAACCAGGGAGUUCUCGUUUUGGCGAAAACCUAAGUGGACUGCUUUUGACAGUAAGCGCUCUGACUCUUUGUGGAUGUUGACCUGCAUAUUUACCAUACGAGUGUUCUUUGUGUUGAUCUCCUCCUGGAUUAUGGCCAUCUGCUCCUGAAGUUUCUUAACCUCAGCGCUGCGCUCUGUCAUGUUCUCCUCGAUAAUGGGUGAUACUAGAAGGGUGCUCAAUGUAGUUGCGAGUUCUAACAGAGUUUGAGUCGAAGGUUUACUUGAGCUGGCUCCGUCUAGAGCUGCGGUCUCGCCUUCGGUCCUCGUACCAACGACAACGAAAUUUUGAAUCAUCGAUGUCCCUAGCGUGUGCUUUCCUACCAUAAAAACGGUUGCGCGAUGUGACGGCUCAAAAACCUCUGUGGUGGUCUCCACGUCAGUAUAGCACUUGGGUCGGUCGUCAAAAAGUGGAAGGAUUGACUCGGUAUCGCCGAUUGAUGUCUUUCCAUCAUAGUAGGCAAGGGUGUCACCGCCAGACACAUAAUUUCCUGAUAGAUCGACUCCCUGAGUGAAUCCAACAAAGACUUGGUUCCACGCGGCUUGUGACGAUCUAGGUUGAGAGCAUUGAGUCGGCUCGACGAUGUCGGUGAAGGUGUCCGGCUUGAGCUCAGAUUUGCUGAUUUUGCCAAUGAUGAGGUGCUUCCGGGCGGCUUGUGUCGGGUCGGGUUGAGAGCGUCGAGCCGACUUGAUGAUGCCGGUGAAGUUGUCCGACUCGAGCCCCGAUUAGACGAUCUUGCCGAUAAAGAUGUGGAUUUAAAUUACUGUAAAUCCAUACCUAGAUGGAAAUUCAUGAAACUUGGAAUGGUGUCAUGACAUGGCCCAUAAAGGCGUUGUAUGAUUUUGUUUUCCAUUUUGAGACAUGUUUUCCAAUUUAUUUCACCUGGGCCAAACAUUGAGCAUAUUGGUUUAAAUUAUAGUAACCACAAAAGUCAAACAAAAAUCAUGAAAUUGGGCAGGGCAUCAUGAUAUAGCACAAAUAUGUUGUGGUAUUUUUUGUGUCCACUUUGAGUGAAGGUGCAAACGUUAAUAGCCAACUGAUACGUCUCCAACGUAUCUAUAAAUUUUGAUGGUUCCAUGCUAUAAUAUUAUCAUUCUAGGAUGCUUUUUGGGUGUAUAUAUACCAAUUACUAUUAUGUUUGUGCACUAACCAAUUAACCCAGUGUCAAGUGCCAGUUGUUAUUUUCUGCAUGUUUUUGGCUUUUUAGAUUUAUAGUACCAAACGAAGUCCAAUUGCCCGGGAACUUUUUUAUGAUUUUUCUAGACCAAAAGAAGACAUGAAAGCACGUGAUGAGACCGGAGGCUGCACGAGGGACGCAUCACACAUCAGGGUGCACCAAGGGGGUGGUUGCAUCCUAUUGUGUAUUGGCCCCCUCGACCGUUUCGUGGCAUACCUCUUCAUCCUAUAAAUUCUCAAACACCCCAAAAACCCUAGGGAGCAACCCGAAACACUUUUUUCGCCAUGGCAAGUCUUUGUUCCAUCAUGAGGCCAUCUAGAGCCCUUUUCCAGUGCCCUGUCAGAGGAGGGAUCGAUCAUGGAGGACCUCUACAUCAACCUUGAUGCUCCCAUGGUGAUGUGUGAGUAGUUUACCACAGACCUACGGGUCCGUAACUAGUACAUAGAUGGUUAUCUCUCUCUCUCUCUUGAUCUUCAAUAAAAUGAUCAUCACAUCUUCACUUUGAUCAAUCUAAUGUACUCCUAUUGUGCGAUGCAUUUUUUGGGAUCCGAUGAAUUGUGGGUUUAUGUUCAGAUUAUUCAUGAUAAAGAUUUGAGUCUUCUCCGACUUCUAAUUAUGGUUCCUAUUUGUAUGAUUAUCAUAGAUUCGUAAAUCUCUCUCAUCUAUUGAAAUAGUCUGGCCAACUGGACUGAUAUUUCUUCGGUGAGAGGGGUGCGUUGUAGUGGGUUCAAUGUGAUGGGUUUCUAUAUCCCAGUGAUAGAAGACGCAAGAUAUGUCAUUGUAUUGUUACCACGAAGGAUAAAACAAUUGGGUUUAUUCAUAUUGACUGAGUUCUCUUUGUCUACAUCAUGUCAUCAUUCCCCAACCAUUACUCUGUUUUCCAUGAACUUAAUUCGUAGAGAUACAAGCAUAGAAGCGCUCUUGAAGUGGAGUAAUAGUAAUAGGUGCAUGCGGAAUUCGGCCUAUUUUCUUACGGACGUGUGUUGGGGAACGUUGCAUGGGAAACAAAAAAUUUCCUACGCACACGAAGACCUAUCACGGUGAUGUCCAUCUACGAGAGGAGAUUUGGAUCUACGUACCCUUGUAGAUCGUACAGCAGGAAGCGUUAAGAAACGCGGUUGAUGUAGUGGAACGUCCUCACGUCCCUCGAUCCGCCCCGCGAACCGUCCCACGAACCGUCCUGCGAUCCGUCCCACGAUCCGCUCCGAUCUAGUGCCGAACGGACGGCACCUCCGCGUUCAGCACACGUACAGCUCGACGAUGAUCUCGGCCUUCUUGAUCCAGCAAGCAAGAUGGAGAAGUAGAUGAGUUCUCCAGCAGCGUGACAGCGCUCCGGUGGUGGUGAAGGAUCUACUCCUGCAGGGCUCCGCCCAAGAUCCGCAGAAAUACGAUCUAGAGGUAAACUAUGGUGUCUAGAUCUGAGUUGCACGUGGCAAAGUUGUCUCAAAUCAGCCCUAAAUCACCAGUAUAUAUAGGAGGGAGGGGGAGGGGCUUGCCUUGAGGGACAAGCCCCCAAGGUGCACCGGCAAAGAGGAGGAGAAGGACUCCUACUCCAAUCCUACUCAAAAUAGGAUUGGAAAGUGGAGUCCUUCCCUUCCUUCCCACCUUUUUUUCUUUCUUUGGUUUUCUCUCUAUGACACAUAGGCCUUAUUGGGUUGUCCCACCAGCCCAUUAAGGGCUGGUGCGCCACCCGUAAGUGCUUUGGGCUUCCCCUGGGAGGGUUGCUCCCCUCCCGGUGAACUUCCAGAACCCAUUCGUCACUCCCGAUACAUUCCCGGUAAUGCCCGAAAACUUUCCGGUAACCAAAUGAAGUCAUCCUAUAUAUUAAUCUUUGUCUCUGGACCAUUAUGGAAACCCUCGUGACGUCUGUGAUCUCAUCCGGCACUCCGAACAACAUUUGGUAACCACGCAUAUAACUUAACUAUACUAAAACAUCGUUGAACCUUAAGUGUGCAGACCCUAUGGGUUCGAGAACUAUGUAGACAUGCCCCAAGGUACUCCUCGGUCAAUAUCCAAUAGCGGUACCUGGAUGCCCAUAUUGGAUCCUACAUAUUCUCCGAAGAUCUUAUCGGUUGAACCUCAGUGUCAAGGAUUCAUAUAAUCCCGUAUGUGAUUCCAUUUGUCCUUCGGUAUAUUACUUGCCCAAGAUUCGAUCGUAGGUAUCCGCAUACCUACUUCAAUCUCAUUACCGGCAAGUCUCUUUACUCGUUCUGUAAUACAAGAUCCCGUGACUUACACUUAGUCACAUUGCUUCCAAGGCUUGUGUGUGAUGUUGUAUUACCGAGUGGGCCCCGAGAUACCUCUUCGUCACACGGAGUGACAAAUCCCAGUCUUGAUCCAUACUAACUCAACGGACACCUUCGGAGAUACCUGUAGAGCACCUUUAUCGUCACCCAGUUACGUUGUGACGUUUGAUACACACAAGGUAUUCCUCUGGUGCGAGUGAGUUUAUAUGAUCUCAUGGUCAUAGGAACAAAUACUUGACACGCAGAAAACUAUAGCAAUAAAACGACACGAUCAAUAUGCUACAUUCAUAGUUUGGGUCUAGUCCAUCACAUGAUUCUCCUAAUGAUGUGGUCCAGUUAUCAAGCAACAACACUUUGCACAUAGUCAGAAAACCUUGACUAUCCUUGAUCAACUGGCUAGCCAACUAGAGGCUUGCUAGGGACAUUGUUGUGUCUAUGUAUCCACACAUGUAUCUAUGUUUUCAUUCAAUACAAUUAUAGCAUGGAUAAUAAACGAUUAUAUUUAAACAUGAAAUAUAAUAAUAACUAUUUACCAUUGCCUCUAGGGCAUAUUUCCAACAAUGUGAUGCCUAUAUACAUAUGAUCAUUGAUACGUCUCCAACAUAUCAAUAAUUUAUGAACUAUUCAUGUCAAUAUUCUACAACUUCCAUAUACUUUUGGCAACAUUUUAUAUUAUUUUUUGGGAAUAACUUACUUACCGAAUGUCCUUUGCCAUUUUUAUUUUUUGUGUGUUUUUGUUUCACGGAAAUUCCAUAUCAAACGGAGUCCAAAUGUGAUAGAAAUUUAGGGAGAUUUUUUUAUAAUAUAUGUCAAUUUUGGGAAAAAGAAUCAAUGCCACAUGAUGCCCGAGGCUCUCACACGACAACAGGGCAUGGCCAGGGGGGUGGUCACACCCUGAUGCCUUGUGGCUCCCCCUUAAGUCGGUUGGGGCCCUAAUUUCACCGCAAGAAAGAUAUUUCCCUGAUAAAAAACCCUCAAAAUUUUAGCCUGAUCGGAGUUAUGGAGCUCCGGAUAUUUAAGAAACAGUGAAGGGCCAGAAAACAGGAGAGAAACUAAGAGAGAGAGAUCCAAUCUCGGAGGGGGUGUUGCCCCUCCGGGAGCCAUGGUGGCCAAGGACUAGAGGAGUGAACCUCUCCCCAUCUAGGGAGAGGUCAUGGAGGAGGAAGCCUAAUGGGGGACACUCUCUCCCCCUCUCUUCCGGUGGCGCCGGAGUGCCGCCGGGAGAACCAUCGGCGCAGUGAUCGUCAUCAUCAACAUCACCGUCUCCAUCACCUUCCCUAGUCUAUCUAUGGCGGUCCACUCUCCCGCACCUUUCUGUAAUCCCCUACUUGAACAUGGUGUUUCAUGCCACAUAUUAUUAAUCAAUGAUGUGUUGCCAUGUUAUCAUGUUUUAGUAGAUUUAUGUUGUCCUUUGGGUUGAUUAAUUUGAGUGUAUGUUUUAUUUUGGUGUUGUCCUAUGGUGCCCUUCGUGUCAUGCACACGUGAGGGAGUUCUUACUGUAUGGUUCGCAAUAUGUUCAUGAUUUUAUUGUAGUGGGUGGCUAGAGUGACAGAAGCUUACACCCGAGUAAGGGAGUUGUUUGCAUAUGGGAGUAAAGGUGACUUGAUGUUUAAUGUUAUGGUUUGGUUUACCUUAAUGAUUUCUAGUAGUUGUGGAUGCUUGCUAGAGAUCCAAUCAUAAUUUCAUAUGAUCCAAGUACGGAAAGUAUGUUAGCUCAUGCGUCUCCCUCAUAUAAAAUUGCAAGAAUGGUUACCGAUCUUGUUAUAAAUUGCCUAGGAUGAUUCCGCACACCAUACCAUCAUUAUUCCACACUCGCUAUUUGUAAUAUAUUGUGAUAUAUUCUAACUUUAUUUAGCAAGAUACUAUUUUCAUAUUUUAGUUCUACAAUAUCAUGCAAACAUAUCCUCUCUAUGCCCACAACGCGGAUUUAUUUCUCGUUACAAGAUAGAAGCAAAUGUUUGGUGUAUGUAGAGUCGUAUCGGUAGCAGAUAGGACUUGAGAGAAUAUUGAUCUUACCUUUAGCUCCUUGUGGGUUCAACACUUCAUACUUACCACUUCCAUAUUUGUAAAUUGCUACGAUGAUUCAUUCCACUUGGGGAUUCUCAAGCUCUAUAAGGCUUGCCCAACUGAUCCCUUUGCCCUCCCACGUAUUGACCAGAUCAUUGACGCAACGGCGGGUUACGAGAGUCUGUGCUUCCUGGAUGCUUAUUCUUGUUAACAUCAGAUAAAGAUGCUGGUUGAAGACGAGGAAAAAGAAACUUUUAUCACGCCCUUUGGAGCUUUCAGUUAUGUAUCUAUGCCUUUUGGGCUCAAGAGUGCUCAGGUGACUUACCAGCAUCGUGUUCAGAAUUGCCUUCAUGGACAGAUUGGGCGCAAUGUUCAUGCUUAUGUUGAUGAAAUUGUGGUAAAAUCAAGGAAGAAGGAAACCUUGCUUGAAUAUUUGAAGGAAACCUCUGACAAUCUCCGGGUGUACAAGAUGAUGCUUAACCCGACCAAGUGCGUCUUCGGGCUAUGUGCAGGAAAACUACUAUGUUUCCUGGUUUCAAAGAGAGAUAUUGAAACUAACCCGAAGAAAAUUGUGGCCGUCACUUCCUUAUCUAAGCCGGCAUGUAUCAAUGACGUGCAACGCCUGGCAGGUCACAUUGCGGCCCUGAGCCGGUUCAUAAGUUGCGUGGGUGAAAAGGCGAUUUCUCUAUACCAAAUGAUGAAAAAGAGUGAUCAUUUUGUCUGGAGUGAUGCUGUUAAUGAGGCUUUUGAAGCACCUAAGAGCAGUUGGUUGAGUCGCCCGUCUUGGUGGCUCCGAUCGACAAAGAGCAUAUGUUCCUAUAUGUGGCGACUAAUAAUCGGGCCAUCGACGUGGCAGUUGUCGUGGAAUGCAAGGAGGCAGGGAAGGAGUGCCCAGUCCAACAGCCGGUUUAUUAUGUCAGCGAAGUCUUAUUAGAGUCCAAGCAAAGAUAUCCACAUUGGCAGAAAUUGGUGUUUGGAGUGUUCAUGGCUAGUCGCAAGUUAAAACAAUACUUCCUUGGGGAUCCAAUCACUGUUGUCAGUUCGGCUCCUCUCGGAGAUAUCAUCCAAAAGAGAGAAGCUAUAGGCCGGGUUGCUAAGUGGGCAACUGAGCUUGGGCCUCAUCAUUUGAAAUACGUGCCCAGGACUGCUAUCAAGUAUCAAGCCUUGGUAGAUUUCAUCAAUUACUAGACAGAGUUACAAACACCCGAGGAAAAACCACAUAAUACAUACUAGACGAUACACUGACGGAUCUAGACAAUUGGAAGGCUCGGGGGUUGGAGUUAUUUUAUCUUCCCCACAAGGUGACAAGUUUUGUUAUGUCCUCCGUCUUAUGCUUCCAUGUACUAACAUGUAGAUGAGUAUGAGGCUUUAUUACAUGGGAUCCACAUGGCUAAGGAAAUGAACUUAAGCAAACUCAGAUGCUUGGGCGACUCAGAUCUUGUGGCACAACAAGUUUCAAGGAAGCGGGACUCUAAAGACCGGCUCAUGGCGGCUUAUCUUCAGGCGGUGACUAACAUUGUGUUAGAGCAUAUAUCUCCAUAUGUGGUUUUGGUAAUUGAUGGCAAUUCCUAUGGACUAAUGGUUGCCUUAAGUUAUAUUUAUAGGAUUUGUCCAUAGGCACUUCUUGAAGUCCAUCUGUUGGGUUCAAGGAGUUUAUAUGAUGACCAAGAUGGUAUUCAAGGUAUUAUCCAAAGAAUGGUCAUAGAGACACAAGGUUGAUCAAGAUCUCAUACAAAGAGUAAAUCAAGAUGAUCAACACACAAAGCGUACAAGAUGUACCGAGAGGGAUCAAGUGAUCCCAUGGUAUGGUAAGCAUUGUCCAUUACGUGUUUGUGUACUAACCCAUGGUCUUCGUGAGAGUUCUAUGUGGGGGUUAGGUGUGUUUCCAUGGGCUUGCGUUAAAAGGAAGAUCUCAUACAACCCAUGAAGGAUGACGUCAAGUGGUGAUCGUCAUCAAGAUUGCGGUGUGCAAGUUCAAGUGGAUCGGCACGAAUAUAUCAUGCUUGAAGCUUGUCGUCCAUUGUGGUGGCAAUGGACUUGUGAAGAUAUGCUGAAGAGUGGCUCACCCAUAGUGAGUAUGGGGGAGCAAUCAACUAGUCUUCAUCAAGCCAACACAAUCAAGAAAGUUGGUCCAUCUUGAGGAAGCAAAGAUCAUCAUCAUCUAGCUCAAGAGGUCGAGGUACAAGGUAUAGGUUUGCCCUUGAUAGGUUUUCUGUUUUAGGAUAGAUUGUUGUACUAUCAAGGGGGGCUCUCAAGUGAGUAGCUUGAUCGUAUCGUUCAUUGAGAGCUCAAACCAUUUGCAUCCUUGCGUCAUACUUCUUGGUUCUUAUUUGGUGUUUCUCUUUGUGAUUUUUAGAGCUUAUGGUCAUCUUCAUGACAAGCUCGAGUUCAUCGAAAACGGAGUCCAUAUGCAUCUACUAUGAUGUUUUCGAUGUUGGAGUUUUUGCCGGUUCUUCAUUCAUAGAGGUCUCACAUCUCUAUAUCAUUGGCAUUUUCAUAUCUGCAAGUUUGGAUAGCUCUUGUCGUCCUGAAUCCAACAAGCUUGGGUUUGCUCGAUUCGGAGCUCGUAUGCGAAAGUUAUGGUUGUUUCAGUGGCGAGCGGUAGUACUGCUGGACCUAGCGGUAGUACCGAUGGCCCUAGCGGUAGUACUGCUAGAGCUGGCAGUAGUACCGCUGUCCUAGCGGUAGUACCGCCCCUGGUCAGCGAUAGUACCGCUCCAAGACUUUAGUACCGUCAUCCUUGCGGUUGUACUACGUCGGAAUUUUUGCGAAGACGUUCUUGGCGGUGGUUGGCCCGGUAGUAUCUUUGCGCUACCAUGGGCUCAGCGGUAGUACCGCUGCAGCCAGCGGUAGUACCGCUGCAGGGUCAGCGGUAGUACCGCUGGGCUCGGGCUGUAAGUGGGGGUAACGGUCUGAUUCCUUCCCCCACUAUAUAAAGGGGGUCUUCUUCCCCCUUGGCCUUAUCCAUAUCUUUAGCUCAUGUUCUUCCCCCAUUGUUGACCUUCUUCGAGCUUGCUAACUCUCAAUCCCUCCAAUGAUUCUUGCUAGUUCUUGAGGGAAAAGAAAGAGGAGAUCUAGAUCCACAUUUCCACCAAUCACUUUCUCCUCUAACUGAGGGGAACCCCUUGAGUCUAGAUCUUGGAGUUCUUCGUGUUCUUCUUCGUUCUUCCUCUCAUUUUCCUCCCUAGCAUUAGUUGCUUUGGUGGGAUUUGGGAGAGAAGGACUUGGGCACUCCGUGUGCCCUUGCCAUUGCAUUAGUUGCAUCGGUUUGAGUUCUCCACGGUGAUACGUGGAAGUGAAGUUUGAGAAGCUUAUUACCUUUGGUACUUAGUACCCUAGAUAUUGUUCUUCGUGGAUGCUUUGGAGUCCUAGAAGCUUGGUGGUGUCUCGAAGCUCAAUCAUUGUGGUGUAAAGCUCCGGGCAAGUGUCGGGGUCUCCAAUUAGGUUGUGGAGAUUGCCCUGAGCAAUUUGUACGGGUACCGGUGACCGCCCCCAAGGUUUUCCAUUUGUACGGGUUCGGUGACCGCCCUCAAGGGUCCCUUGGUGGAAUCACGGCAUCUUGCAUUGUGCGAGGGCGUGAGGAGAUUACGGUGGCCUUAGUGGCUCUUGGGGAGCAUUGUGCCUCCACACCGCUCCAACAGAGAUUAGCAUCGGAAAGGGUGUGAACUUCAGGAUACAUCAUUGUCUCCGCGUGCCUCGGUUAUCUCUUUCCUGAACCCUUUACUUAUGCACUUUACUUUGUGAUAGCCAUAUUGUUUAUUCUCAUAUAUCUUGCUAUCACUUAGUUGUUUAUCUUGCUUAGCAUAAGUUGUUGGUGCACAUAGGUGAGCCUAGUUGUUGCAAGUUUUGUGCUUGACAAAUUAAACGUUAGUUUUAUUCCGCAUUUGUUCAAGCCUAAACCGUAAUUAUUUUAAAGCGCCUAUUCACCCCCCUCUAGGAGACAUCCACAUCCUUUCACAUUGCUACUCACUUAAAAGGAUAUCAAGUGGAUCAUAUAGACCGAUGUCUUAAUGAGGCGCCAGAUGCUUUAUCGCGGUUAGGUUCUCAGCGUAAUCCGGUCCCCCCCCCCAAUGUGUACCAUUUCAACAGCUCAUCCAUCACUCCCGAGGCAUAUCACGUGUCACCACUCGACGGCCAUGGGCACACAAGGUUCUCCACGUUAGCGGACUUCAGCAUGGUUGCUCUGGGCAUGCCCUCGGGCAUCAUCGACCUCAAUGUCAUGUCGGGGUACAGUGGCGCUGGCUAGCCGCCCGACGGGAUGCAAAGGAAGUAGCUCCGGUCGCUCCCUUCGGCAAACAUGGCCCCCACAUGCAGGUUGUUUGACGAAAUGCCACUAUCGACGCCAACUAUCGAUGACCCUGACUAUGCGAUAUUCAUGGAGAACGUCGUCUUCGGGGGCCGUGGUGAGGACUUCCACGUCGAUGGCCAAGGCCAAGCUUUUGAUACCGAUGCAACCCAAAGCCAGGACGGUCGAGGCCGCUAUGAAGACACUCAAUUCGACGACCACUAUGAAGACACUCAAUUCGACAGCCAUGAGGACGACCAUGGAAAUUCUUGGCAUGAAGAUGAUGACUUGUAUUGUGUAGAUGAGAAAGAAGAGGUCGACAUUUUGGCAGAUCCAUUGGUGUUCAUGGACGAGCUCACCCAAAGGGCCGAGGCACAAAAGAAGAGGCAAAGCAUUCACACGUGAUCAUGCACUCAACUAGAGGACACGUUGAUUUGCGAGACUUGGAUGGAGAUAGGCCAAUAUCCUAUGAAAGGUUUUGAGAAAAAAGAUUCGUCUUUUGGAAGAGAGUUCGCAACACCUUUCAUGAGCGAAGGAAGUUUCCCCCCUACCAAUUCGCAAGCACACGACAUCAAUUAAAUCCAAAAGAGAUGGGGAUUCAUCCAACAAGAGUGCGACAAAUAUUGUUCCACGCUUGAGAGCAUUCAAGCCCGUCUCGUGAGUGGCCUAGGCAUUGGUGACUUGGUAUGAACCACUAGUUUUCUCGUCAUGUGUCCAUUCAUGUUGGCAUGCAAUUUAUGUUUUGAUGUACUUUGUGUCCUUCCAUGUUACAAUUGUGGCCGCAUCUUUGGUUGUGUAGGCGUUCCAAUCUUUGGAAGCCUUCAACGCUCGACACAAGAAUAAGUCCUUUACUCUCACGUAUUGUUGGUCGUUCAUCAAAGAUUGCCUCAAGUUCAAAGACCAAUAUGUUGCUCGUAAAAAUAAAGGAGGGAAGGCGGUUGUGGCUGACGAAGGAGGCUUACUCAAGAGGCCGAAGGGGAAUACAAUCUCAAAGGCCGAGGAGAAGUGUGAUGCAGCUUCUAUAGCCUUGCAAGGAACAUUGGAGAACAUGAUGAGCCAAAAGGAAGUGACGUAAUAGUGGAGGAGCAAAGGGAAGGAGGAUAAAAUAAAGAUCUACCUAGAUCUCCAAACGAAGAAGCUUGACAUGGAGGAGGUCGUGAAGAGGAGGAAGCUUGACAUCGAGGAGGCCUCUCAACUCAAGAAGCUCGAGAUCGAGGCCACCAAUGCCGAGAACAAAGCAACAGAGGUGGCACUCGUGUUCACGAGUGUCGACAAGAACAACAUUUCAUGAGAGACGAAGGCUUGGUUCGUGAACCGGCAGAAGGAGAUGUUCGCCCGCGACAACCCGAACUAGGUGAGAUCUUGGUCGCGACCGCCAUCCAUUUAAAAGGUUGGCUGGUGUGCCGGCCGCUCGCCUUGUUGACGGCACCAAAAACCUGUCCAUUUUGAAGGUUGGCUCGUGUGCCGGCCACUGGCUUUGUUGCCGGCCCAAAACUUGUCCAUUUUGAAGGUUGGUUCGUGUGCCCGCACUUGGCUUUGUUGCCAACGUGAAAGUUGGAUGACCAUUCUGUAGGCCGCUAGCUUUGUUGCCGGCCAGCAUGAACUCAUGUGAACACGGUCGCUCGCAUAAACUAUGCCCACAGCCAUUUAGCUACAUCCUUUAUUCUUUUCAUAUUUGUAAGCAGAGCGGACGAGAUGCGACCGAAAUGCAAUCGCGUGUUGGGCGCACGAGUGACGCAUCCACAAAUCCGGACACACAUUCUCCCAAUGCCAUUACAAACAAACAAAAAAUAGAUAAAAUGGAUGUCCGUUUGAGAUCGUGCAUUAGAGUUUCCCUUAGAUAAACUCCAACGCGCUCAUCCAUUUCGUCCGCGUGCGUCCGUUUGGGUCGCGGCGGACAAAAGUGACGGCCCAACGCGCCAACCCAAACCCAAAUCACGUCCGCUUCGCCUCCGCGCGGACCCAUUUUCAGCCCAAAAUUGCACGUGAAAUGCGUCGGUGCAAACGUGAAGCGGACGCGACACGCGCCUUCUCACGUCCAAGCCCAUCCACACGUGGCGCCCGGUCAAAGCCAACGGCAUCUUUAUUAACAACGAUCGCCCGCUGCAGUCCCACGCGUCAGCGACCCACUCGCGUCCUUUUUUAAUCCGAGCGUGAGGGGGGCUCAUCCUCUUCGAGAAGCCACCCCAUCCACAUCUAGCCACUCCUGCUCCCCCGCCGGCGGCAAACCCUAGCCACCACCACCAUGGGGUUCUUCCCCGCGAAGGACAAGGAAAAGUCCCUCGCCGUCCCUGUCUGCGCGUCGGAGUCUUCCCAUCCACCUCACCAGCGGGUCAACGUGCCGGUGCACCAGACGAGGUGGCAUUGGGAGCACCGUGUCCUCCUCCCCUACCCUGAUAUAAUGCUACCGCAUGACUGGCUGACGCUAGAGUAGUGGCGCAGCCCCGUCUACGUUGCAGACUCCCCGAUUGGUACGCUGGUUUGCUGGGAGCACGAUGAGCAACAUCGGCAUGGCGUCUGCGACGUGGCGGCUGGACCACUACCGCCCCUCGUCAUGCGCGAAGAGGACCAGAAGGCGGAGGCGGCGUACCAGAACGCGCUUGCGGCCAUCCUGCGCGCAAUCGAGGAGGGAGCGUGCCUGAAGGAGGAGGAGAAGGCCGCCUACGAGAAGGAGCUGGCGGAGGCCAUUGCGUUCUCCGCUGCCGACGACACACUCGUGCGGCCGUUGGCCCCGUCGUCCCCCUUAGGAGGGUGUACGCCUGGGACGGGGUGGUGCGCGAGUGGGUUAGCGCGCCACCCGUCUGGUUGGGUGCAACGCCGGAGCAGGAGGGGUCUACCUGGAACACUGGCGGCAGCGACGGGUGAGGAAGGAGGGCGAAGAGGCCCGAUGGAUCAAGUUGCUCGACUGCGAGGCUGAAGCCGAGGAGGAGCGUCGCGCUGCCCAGCAAGCGGCGGUGCAACCACCGACGGACGCGGUUGCCGUCGCCUGGGAGACGUCUUCCCUUGGGCUGGCCCGACGCCGACGCUCGUGCCGUCUAAAAAUGGGUCGUUGGUCGCGUUAGACGCAAGCGUCGACCCAAUUACAAAAGCGGAUACAAAUGUCCGUCGGACUAAUUCAAACAGAUAAAUACGAACAAAACACCGUUAGUUUAAAUCGACCUUGAAGUUACUCUUAAAUCCCGGAUGGAAUGAAGAUAUCACGAUCUCUAUAAUCAUUCAACCAUAUAUUGAUUUACGUGAGACACGAAUCUUUGAUUGAGUGAAUCAAGCUAGCAAUGAAGAAUAAAAGGACGAGGAAAGGUCGGCAGAUGGCGUGUAGCCCCGCAUGUCAUUCGCAGUCCAUCUAUCCGCGUCUGGAUAACUUCGUAUCGAAGUCAAGCACUGUUCCUUCAAUUUCUUUAAUCUGAGAGGAGCUCUGUUCUUAUGAUCUUAUCUACUUUCUCACCCUACCGCCUCCCUUCAGUACUCACACAAAACACCCUUAAAAUAAUAUUUUAUCACAUCGCGCACCAUCCCACACUUGCCCAACACGAGAGAAGCCUUACACGGCCCACCCAAGAAAAGCACAGGGCCUUUCUUGCAAAUUGUCCCCCGAUUUUUUCGGACGACGCAAACGAAAGGGAGAGAGAGGAGAGGAGAGGCGAGACGCCACCGAGAGAGGAGAGAGAGCCAUCAGCCAUGGGAGGAGGCGUCAUGCGCACCGCUGCGAAGGUCGGCCUCGCCGGGGGCGCCGCGGCGGCGGCGGGCCGCUUCCGCAACGUCGCCCCGUCCUUCGCCACGGCCCCCGCCGCCGAGGCCGCCGCGGCGGCGCCGCUGCUGUCCGCGGCCGGGGAGGUCCCCGCGGUGGCCCCGGCUGGGUCGCAGUGGGCGUCCUGGGAGGUGGACGACUGGGAAUUCGCGGACUGGAGGUCCGAGUCGGCGACGUCCGAGGCGGACGUGGCGGNNNNNN
rnacentral:lncRNA from 1 species